CUGGCGGCAGGCCUAACACAUGCAAGUCGAGCGCGCCUUCGGGUGAGCGGCGGACGGGUUAGUAACGCGUGGGAACGUGCCCUUCUCUACGGAAUAGCCUCUGGAAACGGAGAGUAAUACCGUAUACGCCCUUUGGGGGAAAGAUUUAUCGGAGAAGGAUCGGCCCGCGUUAGAUUAGGUAGUUGGUGGGGUAACGGCCUACCAAGCCUACGAUCUAUAGCUGGUUUUAGAGGAUGAUCAGCAACACUGGGACUGAGACACGGCCCAGACUCCUACGGGAGGCAGCAGUGGGGAAUCUUAGACAAUGGGGGCAACCCUGAUCUAGCCAUGCCGCGUGAGUGAUGAAGGCCUUAGGGUCGUAAAGCUCUUUCGCCUGUGAUGAUAAUGACAGUAGCAGGUAAAGAAACCCCGGCUAACUCCGUGCCAGCAGCCGCGGUAAUACGGAGGGGGUUAGCGUUGUUCGGAAUUACUGGGCGUAAAGCGCGCGUAGGCGGAUUAGAAAGUUGGGGGUGAAAUCCCGGGGCUCAACCUCGGAACUGCCUCCAAAACUGCUAGUCUAGAGUUCGAGAGAGGUGAGUGGAAUUCCGAGUGUAGAGGUGAAAUUCGUAGAUAUUCGGAGGAACACCAGUGGCGAAGGCGGCUCACUGGCUCGAUACUGACGCUGAGGUGCGAAAGUGUGGGGAGCAAACAGGAUUAGAUACCCUGGUAGUUCACACCGUAAACGAUGAAUGCCAGUCGUCGGGUAGUAUACUAUUCGGUGACACACCUAACGGAUUAAGCAUUCCGCCUGGGGAGUACGGUCGCAAG
rnacentral:rRNA from 1 species